CCUUAGAAGAUCCAGAGAAUUCAUCUGAGCACACAGAGAGAAAGAGGAGAGUGUCAUUACUGAUUGAAUCCCAGGACCUCCAAAAGUCACUUUUUAAUUCAGAAACUUGCAAUUAAAAAGUUACAAUCUAAAAGAGUUUAUCCUGAAUAAGUUCAGGCCAUGUUAAACAUAUGAUAGCAAUGAUAGCAUUAACAAAGUCAAUGUAAUGUUUUUUUUUUUUUUUUUUUUUUUUUUUACCAAUGUCAAGUUUCUUCACACCUCAAAGCCCCUAAAAGGUCCCAGUGUAGUAUUUUAAGAGUGUUUAGUCUCCUUUUAAGAGUCUCUAUUUAAAGGUAUGGGAACAAUAACACCAAUUAUUGUUUAUUUUUUUCUAACACUGAAGAUGGGAUAGACGCUUAGAACAUACCUUUUCCUUGUACAUAUAUUGAAAAAUGAAGUCAUGUUAGAGUAAAUUAAAGUUUGGUUGACUUAAUUAAAUUAAAACAAUGAAGUAUUUUGGUGUUCUGGCAGUGACCCUGUUACACCUGGUCACUUCAUGUGUCCUCAGGAUUGUAAUCUUGAUAAGACUAGGCCACAAAAAAGCAAAUUUAAACACAACUAAUACACAUUUAAAACAGGGAGAAAUCUGAUUAUGUAGGAGUGCAGUGAUUUAAAAAGAAGGUGAUCUAAAAUGCAUUUUAUUGCAGUUUAAAUUUUAGACGGGUCGUUAAAUGGGUCGUUUUCUUUUACUUAUUUUGUUGUAUUUUUGAUUAGUGAUGUGUCUAUGCAGGUGUGGAAUUUGGCUUUUUUGUAUUUGGUGUGAUGUGGAUACUGGGUGUUUUGAUUGGUCAGGACUGUCUAAUUACCUUCACCUGAAAAAAUAACUGUCGCUUUUUUUGCCAGCCUAUCAGCGUGCAAAGAAAGCGCGGGUGAUUAGGGACUCUUAUUUUAAAAAGUGGACUUCUGCGAAGACGGACGAGAGGUCGAAGGCACCUAAAGGAGCGCUACUGGCUAUCUGAGAGGGAUCCAGGGAAACGAGCGUGAGGUAUCGGAGCAGAGAUAGGCGCCGCAUGUGUGUGUUGGGGGAGGACUCUCUAGGAACCAGAGUUGCCAGGUUCGCGGUUUUCCCGCCAAGUCAAAAAUCCAGUCUCGGGUGAUAAUUCAGUGGUUGAGGGGUGCAGUUUUUGCACUACUUUUAAAAAAUGACCGCGACCGCCAACAACGUGCGUGUUACUUUGGAUAUUACAUCAGCACGGCGGGCAAACGUGAACAAGUCGAAAACGCAAAAAAUUUAAGCUUCUGAAGGGCGGGUUUUAGACUGACUUUGGGCUGGAUAUUUUUGUUGGACCUGGCAAUCCUGCUCCAAACGCAGCAGAGGCGGAAGCAGUCGGACCGCGUGGUGUGCACACCGGCGGGGAGCUUUAGUCUGCAGGCUCUGUGUAACUGGUUUCGUGUGAGUAUAAGCAGCUAAUUUAUGCAGUGAUCUAUAUUUUAAGGACUUUAAAUUGUGCUGGGCUGCCUUUUAUUGGAUGCUUUUAGAAACUCUUGCUGCAUGUGAAAAUGUCCCCCUCUGUAGCUGCUGAACCUGUAUGAAUGUAAUGCGAAGAGCUUAAAGAACGUGUUGCUGUUCAGUCUUUCUUUGAUCUGCCACAGAAAGCUGUUUUAAGACCGAAUGGAGCUGUAACUCCACCCCUCUUGGCUAUUGCGGACUCUUCCGAUUGGGACACUGAACUGGACUCUGUUUUGUGUUUUAUUUUUUCCCUCUAUUUCCAUAAAUUGUUUAACUCUGUCAAAGUGCUAAUAAAACCUGUUUUUGUAAUA